rnacentral:ncRNA from 1 species
AUUCUGGUUGAUCCUGCCAGUAGUUAUAUGCUUGUCUCAAAGAUUAAGCCAUGCAUGUCUAAGUACACACGAAUUAAAAGUGAAACCGCAAAAGGCUCAUUAUAUCAGUUAUGGUUCCUUAGAUCGUUAACAGUUACUUGGAUAACUGUGGUAAUUCUAGAGCUAAUACAUGCAAUUAAAACAUGAACCUUAUGGGACAUGUGCUUUUAUUAGGCUAAAACCAAGCGAUCGCAAGAUCGUUAUAUUGGUUGAACUCUAGAUAACAUGCAGAUCGUAUGGUCUUGUACCGACGACAGAUCUUUCAAAUGUCUGCCCUAUCAACUUUUGAUGGUAGUAUCUAGGACUACCAUGGUUGCAACGGGUAACGGGGAAUCAGGGUUCGAUUCCGGAGAGGGAGCCUGAGAAACGGCUACCACAUCUAAGGAAGGCAGCAGGCGCGUAAAUUACCCACUCCCAGCUCGGGGAGGUAGUGACGAAAAAUAACAAUACAGGACUCAUAUCCGAGGCCCUGUAAUUGGAAUGAGUACACUUUAAAUCCUUUAACAAGGACCAAUUGGAGGGCAAGUCUGGUGCCAGCAGCCGCGGUAAUUCCAGCUCCAAUAGCGUAUAUUAAAGUUGUUGCGGUUAAAACGUUCGUAGUUGAACUUGUGCUUCAUACGGGUAGUAC